GACGAACGCUGGCGGCGUGCUUAACACAUGCAAGUCGAGCGGAAAGGCCACUUCGGUGGUACUCGAGCGGCGAACGGGUGAGUAACACGUGAGUAAUCUGCCCCUCACUUUGGGAUAGCCCCGGGAAACUGGGAUUAAUACCGGAUAUGACUGCCGGCCGCAUGGUCGGGUGGUGGAAAGUUUUUCGGGGGGGGAUGGUCUAGCGGCCUAUGAGGUUGUUGGUGGGGUAAGGGCCUACCAAGGCUUCGACGGGUAGCCGGCCUGAGAGGGGGACCGGCCACACUGGGACUGAGACACGGCCCAGACUCCUACGGGAGGCAGCAGUGGGGAAUAUUGGACAAUGGGCGGAAGCCUGAUCCAGCAACGCCGCGUGAGGGAUGACGGCCUUCGGGUUGUAAACCUCUUUCAGCGGGGACGAAGCGCGAGUGACGGUACCCGCAGAAGAAGCACCGGCCAACUACGUGCCAGCAGCCGCCGUAACAC
rnacentral:rRNA from 1 species